CUGGUUGAUUAUUCAGUAGACGUGACUUGUGUAUAUUCCGUCACGUUUCACCAUCCAGGCUACAGUAUGUGUGUCUCUCCAGCGACAUUUCUUUCUGUCCUCGUGAACGAUUCACAAUGUACUGCGGGAGGUCAGGAGCUGAGACAUGUUUUACUGACCUGUUAUUUCUGUCUACAAGGAAAAAACAACAACUCUGGCUUCCUUCCCAUCGAGCUUCGGUACGGUACCGCUGUACUAAUGAGCUACUCUUCAAAGAUCCGGUAUUUUUUUGUCAGCAAACAUGACCACCAACUGGCCACUCUCACAGGAAGAGGCAGAUUCACUGGCAUUGGACGAAAGCUGUUAAAACUCUUGAGUAACAUUAGUUUACCUGCUUGGAAAAGUGUACAAUAAGGAUUGUAUGUUUUGGGUCUCAUUAAUGGAGUGUGAUGCUGAGAUUAUAUUAAAACAAUCCUUUUCAUGGA